AUGUUCCGAGCAGUGAGGCAUGUCGUCGUCGUGGCGAGGGCGAAGAAGAGCCGAGCUGAGCCAGCCUUGUCGGCCUUCGCGAGCCACUUCUCCGCGGCCUCCACCGCGCAGAGGUUGGCUGGGAAGGUGGCCGUGAUCACCGGCGGCGCCAGCGGCAUCGGCAAGGCGACGGCCGCGGAGUUCGUCAGGAACGGCGCCAAGGUCGUCCUCGCCGACGUCCAGGACGACCUGGGCCGCGCCGUGGCGGCCGAGCUCGGCACCGACGCGGCGUGCUACACGCGCUGCGACGUGGCCGACGAGGCGCAGGUCGCCGCGGCCGUCGACCUCGCCGUCGCGCGGCACGGCCGCCUCGACGUCAUGUUCAACAACGCCGGCAUCAGCGGCGCCCUCACGCCCGUGCCUCUCGCCUCUCUGGACCUCGAGGACUUCGACCGCGUCAUGGCGGUCAACGCGCGGGCCAUGCUCGCCGGCGUGAAGCACGCGGUCCGCGUCAUGACGCCGCGCCGCAGAGGCAGCAUCAUCUGCACGGCCAGCACCGCGGGGGUGCUCGGCAGCGUGGCGCCGCACCCGUACAGCGUGUCCAAGGCGGCGGUCUGGGGCUCGUGCGCGCCGUGGCAGGGGAGAUGGCGCGCUCCGGGGUGUGCGUGA
rnacentral:rRNA from 1 species